ensembl:lncRNA XIST X inactive specific transcript
ACACAGCUCAACCUAUCUGAAUAAAAUCCUACUCUCAGACCCCUUUUGCAGUACAGCAGGGGUGCUGAUCACCAAGGCCCUUUUUCCUGGCCUGGUAUGCGUGUGAUUAUGUUUGUCCCGGUUCCUGUGUAUUAGACAUGGAAGCCUCCCCUGCCACACUCCACCCCCAAUCUUCCUUUCCCUUCCGGCAGGGAGUGCCCUCUCCAUAAGACGCUUACGUUUGGACAAUCAAGGUGCACAGUUGUAAGUGACCACAGGCAUACACCUUGGACAUUAAUGUGCAUAACCACUUUGCCCAUUCCAUCUGAAUAAGGUCCUACUCUCAGACCCCUUUUGCAGUACAGCAGGGGUGCUGAUCACCAAGGCCCCUUUUCUUGGCCUGUUAUGUGCGUGAUUAUAUUUGUCUGGGUUCCUGUGUAUUAGACAAGGAAGCCUUCCCCCCGCCCCCACCCCCACUCCCAGUCUUCCUUUCCCUUCCAGCAGGGAGUGCCCCCUCCAUAAGAUCAUUACAUUUGGACAAUCAAGGUGCACAAUUAUAAGUGACCACAGCCAUGCACCUUGGACAUUAUUGGACAUUAAUGUGCGUAACUGCACAUGGCCCAUCCCAUCUGAAUAAGGUCCUACUCUCAGAUGCCCUUUGCAGUACAGCAGGGGUACUGAAUCACCAAGGCCCUUUUUCUUGGCCUGUUAUGUGUGUGAUUAUAUUUAUCCCAGUUUCUGUGUAAUAGACAUGAAAGCCUCCCCUGCCACACCCCACCUCCAAUCUUCCUUUCCCUUCCACCAGGGAGUGUCCACUCCAUAUACCCUUACAUUUGGACAAUCAAGGUGCACAAUUGUAAGUGAGCAUAGGCACUCACCUUGGACAUGAAUGUGCAUAACUGCACAUGGCCCAUCCCAUCUGAAUAAGGUCCUACUCUCAGACCCUUUUUGCAGUACAGCAGGGGUGCUGAUCACCAAGGCCCCUUUUCCUGGCCUGUUAUGUGUGUGAUUAUAUUUGUUCCAGUUCCUGUGUAAUAGACAUGGAAGCCUCCCCUGCCACACUCCACCCCCAAUCUUCCUUUCCCUUCUGGCAGGAAGUACCCGCUCCAUAAGACCCUUACAUUUGGACAGUCAAGGUGCACAAUUGUAUGUGACCACAACCAUGCACCUUGGACAUAAAUGUGUGUAACUGCACAUGGCCCAUCCCAUCUGAAUAAGGUCCUACUCUCAGACCCCUUUUGCAGUACAGUAGGUGUGCUGAUAACCAAGGCCCCUCUUCCUGGCCUGUUAACGUAUGUGAUUAUAUUUGUCUGGGUUCCAGUGUAUAAGACAUGGAAGCCUCCCCUGCCCCACCCCACCCUCAAUCUUCCUUUCCCUUCUGGCAGGGAGUGCCAGCUCCAUAAGAACCUUACAUUUGGACAGUCAAGGUGCACAAUUCUAAGUGACCGCAGCCAUGCACCUUGGUCAAUAAUGUGUGUAACUGCACACGGCCUAUCUCAUCUGAAUAAGGCCUUACUCUCAGACCCCUUUUGCAGUACAGCAGGGGUGCUGAUAACCAAGGCCCAUUUUCCUGGCCUGUUAUGUGUGUGAUUAUAUUUGUCCAGGUUUCUGUGUACUAGACAAGGAAGCCUCCUCUGCCCCAUCCCAUCUACGCAUAAUCUUUCUUUUCCUCCCAGCAGGGAGUGCUCACUCCAUAAGACCCUUACAUUUGGACAAUCAAGGUGCACAAUUGUAAGUGACCACAACCAUGCAUCUUGGAAAUUUAUGUGCAUAACUGCACAUGGCUUAUCCUAUUUGAAUAAAGUCCUACUCUCAGACCCCCUUUGCAGUAUAGCUGGGGUGCUGAUCACUGAGGCCUCUUUGCUUGGCUUGUCUAUAUUCUUGUGUACUAGAUAAGGGCACCUUCUCAUGGACUCCCUUUGCUUUUCAACAAGGAGUACCCACUACUUUUUAAGAUUCUUAUAUUUGUCCAAAGUACAUGGUUUUAAUUGACCACAACAAUGUCCCUUGGACAUUAAUGUAUGUAAUCACCACAUGGUUCAUCCUAAUUAAACAAAGUUCUACCUUCUCACCCUCCAUUUGCAGUAUACCAGGGUUGCUGACCCCCUAAGUCCCCUUUUCUUGGCUUGUUGACAUGCAUAAUUGCAUUUAUGUUGGUUCUUGUGCCCUAGACAAGGAUGCCCCACCUCUUUUCAAUAGUGGGUGCCCACUCCUUAUGAUCUUUACAUUUGAACAGUUAAUGUGAAUAAUUGCAGUUGUCCACAACCCUAUCACUUCUAGGACCAUUAUACCUCUUUUGCAUUACUGUGGGGUAUACUGUUUCCCUCCAAGGCCCCUUCUGGUGGACUAUCAACAUAUAAUUGAAAUUUUCUUUUGUCUUUGUCAGUAGAUUAAGGUCAUACCCCAUCACCUUUCCUUUGUAGUACAACAGGGUGUCCUGAUCAACCAAAGUCCUGUUGUUUUGGACUGUUAAUAUGUGCAAUUACAUUUGCUCCUGAUCUGUGCACUAGAUAAGGAUCCUACCUACUUUCUUAGUGUUUUUAGCAGGUAGUGCCCACUACUCAAGACUGUCACUUGGAAUGUUCAUGUGCACAAACUCAAUUCUCUAAGCAUGUUCCUGUACCACCUUUGCUUUAGAGCAGGGGGAUGAUAUUCACUAAGUGCCCCUUCUUUUGGACUUAAUAUGCAUUAAUGCAAUUGUCCACCUCUUCUUUUAGACUAAGAGUUGAUCUCCACAUAUUCCCCUUGCAUCAGGGGCAUGUUAAUUAUGAAUGAACCCUUUUCUUUUAAUAUUAAUGUCAUAAUUGUAUUUGUGGACCUGUGUAGGAGAAAAAGACCCUAUGUUCCUCCCAUUACCCUUUGGAUUGCUGCUGAGAAGUGUUAACUACUCAUAAUCUCAGCUCUUGGACAAUUAAUAGCAUUAAUAACAAUUAUCAAGGGCACUGAUCAUUAGAUAAGACUCCUGCUUCCUCGUUGCUUACAUCGGGGGUACUGACCCACUAAGGCCCCUUGUACUGUUAAUGUGAAUAUUUGCAAUUAUAUAUGUCUCCUUCUGGUAGAGUGGGAUAUUAUGCCCUAGUAUCCCCUUUGCAUUACUGCAGGGGCUGCUGACUACUCAAAACUUCUCCUGGGACUGUUAAUAGGCACAAUGGCAGUUAUCAAUGGUUUUCUCCCUCCCUGACCUUGUUAAGCAAGCGCCCCACCCCACCCUUAGUUUCCCAUGGCAUAAUAAAGUAUAAGCAUUGGAGUAUUCCAUGCACUUGUCUAUCAAACAGUGGUCCAUACUCCCAACCCUUUUGCAUUGCGCCAGUGUGUAAAAUCACAGGUAGCCAUGGUGUCAUGCUUUAUAUACGAAGUCUUCCCUCUCUCUGCCCCUUGUGUGCCCUUGGCCCCUUUUUACAGACUAUUGCUCACAAUCUCAGGUGUCCAUAUUUGCAGCUAUUAGGUAAGAUUGUGCUGUCUCCCUCUUCCCUUCCCUCUGCCCUGCCCCUUUUGCCUCUUUGCUGGGUAAUGUUGACCAGACAAGGCCCUUUCUCUUGGACUUAAACAAUUCUCAGUUGCACUUUCCUUGGUCCCACCCAUUAUACAUGAACCCCUCUACUUCCUUUCGCAUUGCUUCUGAGUAUGCUGACUACCCAAAGCCCCUUCUGUGUUAUUAAUAAACACAGUACUGAUUGUCCCAUUUUUCAGCCCAUCAGUCCAAGAUCUCCCUACCACUUUGGUGUGUUGGUGCAGUGUUGACUAUGAAAAGCAGGCCUGAACUAGGUGGAUAAGCCUUCACUCAUUUUCUUUCAUUUAUUAAUGAUCCUAGUUUCAAUUAUUGUCAGAUUCUGGGGACAAGAACCAUUCUUGCCCACCUGUGUUACUGCUUUACUGUGCAAAAUACUGAAGGCAAGUCAGACCCAGGGAGCUGGAUUGCCAUCCUUUAUUUUGUGUUUCCAGUGUACACUAUAAAAUUGUCUCCCCAGGAAGGAAGGUUGGCACUUUCUCUGCAUUCUUCUUUCCAGAGCAGAUUGCCUGGUUAAGAAUCUCUUGUUGUCCCCUUUGUAUAUUGUUAUUGUAAAGUGCCAAAUGCCAGGAUACAGCCAGAAAAAUUGCUUAUUAUUAUUAAAAAAAUUUUUUUAAGAAAGACAUCUGGAUUGUAGGGUGGACUCGAUAACCUGGUCAUUAUUUUUUUGAAGCCAAAAUAUCCAUUUAUACUAUGUACCUGGUGACCAGUGUCUCUCAUUUUAACUGAGGGUGGUGGGUCUGUGGAUAGAACACUGACUCUUGCUAUUUUAAUAUCAAAGAUAUUCUAGAGUGGAACUCUUAAGACCAGUAUCUUUGUGUGGGCUUUACCAGCAUUCACUUUUAGAAAAACUACCUAAAUUUUAUAAUCCUUUAAUUUCUUCAUCUGGAGCACCUGCCCCUACUUAUUUCAAGAAGAUUGCAGUAAAACGAUUAAAUGAGGGAACAUAUGCAGAGGUGCUUUUAAAAAGCAUAUGCCACCUUUUUUAUUAAUUAUUAUAUAAAAUGAAGCAUUUAAUUAUAGUAAUAAUUUGAAGUAGUUUGAAGUACCACACUGAGGUGAGGACUUAAAAAUGAUAAGACGAGUUCCCUAUUUUAUAAGAAAAAUAAGCCAAAAUUAAAUAUUCUUUUGGAUAUAAAUUUCAACAGUGAGAUAGCUGCCUAGUGGAAAUGAAUAAUAUCCCAGCCACUAGUGUACAGGGUGUUUUGUGGCACAGGAUUAUGUAAUAUGGAACUGCUCAAGCAAAUAACUAGUCAUCACAACAGCAGUUCUUUGUAAUAACUGAAAAAGAAUAUUGUUUCUCGGAGAAGGAUGUCAAAAGAUCGGCCCAGCUCAGGGAGCAGUUUGCCCUACUAGCUCCUCGGACAGCUGUAAAGAAGAGUCUCUGGCUCUUUAGAAUACUGAUCCCAUUGAAGAUACCACGCUGCAUGUGUCCUUAGUAGUCAUGUCUCCUUAGGCUCCUCUUGGACAUUCUGAGCAUGUGAGACCUGAGGACUGCAAACAGCUAUAAGAGGCUCCAAAUUAAUCAUAUCUUUCCCUUUGAGAAUCUGGCCAAGCUCCAGCUAAUCUACUUGGAUGGGUUGCCAGCUAUCUGGAGAAAAAGCUCUUCAUUGUUCCUAUCUGCCAAAUCAUUAUACUUCCUACAAGCAGUGCAGAGAGCUGAGUCUUCAGCAGGUCCAAGAAAUUUGAACACACUGAAGGAAGUCAGCCUUCCCACCUGAAGAUCAACAUGCCUGGCACUCUAGCACUUGAGGAUAGCUGAAUGAAUGUGUAUUUCUUUGUCUCUUUCUUUCUUGUCUUUGCUCUUUGUUCUCUAUCUAAAGUGUGUCUUACCCAUUUCCAUGUUUCUCUUGCUAAUUUCUUUCGUGUGUGCCUUUGCCUCAUUUUCUCUUUUUGUUCACAAGAGUGGUCUGUGUCUUGUCUUAGACAUAUCUCUCAUUUUUCAUUUUGUUGCUAUUUCUCUUUGCUCUCCUAGAUGUGGCUCUUCUUUCACGCUUUAUUUCAUGUCUCCUUUUUGGGUCACAUGCUGUGUGCUUUUUGUCCUUUUCUUGUUCUGUCUACCUCUCCUUUCUCUGCCUACCUCUCUUUUCUCUUUGUGAACUGUGAUUAUUUGUUACCCCUUCCCCUUCUCGUUCGUUUUAAAUUUCACCUUUUUUCUGAGUCUGGCCUCCUUUCUGCUGUUUCUACUUUUUAUCUCACAUUUCUCAUUUCUGCAUUUCCUUUCUGCCUCUCUUGGGCUAUUCUCUCUCUCCUCCCCUGCGUGCCUCAGCAUCUCUUGCUGUUUGUGAUUUUCUAUUUCAGUAUUAAUCUCUGUUGGCUUGUAUUUGUUCUCUGCUUCUUCCCUUUCUACUCACCUUUGAGUAUUUCAGCCUCUUCAUGAAUCUAUCUCCCUCUCUUUGAUUUCAUGUAAUCUCUCCUUAAAUAUUUCUUUGCAUAUGUGGGCAAGUGUACGUGUGUGUGUGUCAUGUGUGGCAGAGGGGCUUCCUAACCCCUGCCUGAUAGGUGCAGAACGUCGGCUAUCAGAGCAAGCAUUGUGGAGCGGUUCCUUAUGCCAGGCUGCCAUGUGAGAUGAUCCAAGACCAAAACAAGGCCCUAGACUGCAGUAAAACCCAGAACUCAAGUAGGGCAGAAGGUGGAAGGCUCAUAUGGAUAGAAGGCCCAAAGUAUAAGACAGAUGGUUUGAGACUUGAGACCCGAGGACUAAGAUGGAAAGCCCAUGUUCCAAGAUAGAUAGAAGCCUCAGGCCUGAAACCAACAAAAGCCUCAAGAGCCAAGAAAACAGAGGGUGGCCUGAAUUGGACCGAAGGCCUGAGUUGGAUGGAAGUCUCAAGGCUUGAGUUAGAAGUCUUAAGACCUGGGACAGGACACAUGGAAGGCCUAAGAACUGAGACUUGUGACACAAGGCCAACGACCUAAGAUUAGCCCAGGGUUGUAGCUGGAAGACCUACAACCCAAGGAUGGAAGGCCCCUGUCACAAAGCCUACCUAGAUGGAUAGAGGACCCAAGCGAAAAAGGUAUCUCAAGACUAACGGCCGGAAUCUGGAGGCCCAUGACCCAGAACCCAGGAAGGAUAGAAGCUUGAAGACCUGGGGAAAUCCCAAGAUGAGAACCCUAAACCCUACCUCUUUUCUAUUGUUUACACUUCUUACUCUUAGAUAUUUCCAGUUCUCCUGUUUAUCUUUAAGCCUGAUUCUUUUGAGAUGUACUUUUUGAUGUUGCCGGUUACCUUUAGAUUGACAGUAUUAUGCCUGGGCCAGUCUUGAGCCAGCUUUAAAUCACAGCUUUUACCUAUUUGUUAGGCUAUAGUGUUUUGUAAACUUCUGUUUCUAUUCACAUCUUCUCCACUUGAGAGAGACACCAAAAUCCAGUCAGUAUCUAAUCUGGCUUUUGUUAACUUCCCUCAGGAGCAGACAUUCAUAUAGGUGAUACUGUAUUUCAGUCCUUUCUUUUGACCCCAGAAGCCCUAGACUGAGAAGAUAAAAUGGUCAGGUUGUUGGGGAAAAAAAAGUGCCAGGCUCUCUAGAGAAAAAUGUGAAGAGAUGCUCCAGGCCAAUGAGAAGAAUUAGACAAGAAAUACACAGAUGUGCCAGACUUCUGAGAAGCACCUGCCAGCAACAGCUUCCUUCUUUGAGCUUAGGUGAGCAGGAUUCUGGGGUUUGGGAUUUCUAGUGAUGGUUAUGGAAAGGGUGACUGUGCCUGGGACAAAGCGAGGUCCCAAGGGGACAGCCUGAACUCCCUGCUCAUAGUAGUGGCCAAAUAAUUUGGUGGACUGUGCCAACGCUACUCCUGGGUUUAAUACCCAUCUCUAGGCUUAAAGAUGAGAGAACCUGGGACUGUUGAGCAUGUUUAAUACUUUCCUUGAUUUUUUUCUUCCUGUUUAUGUGGGAAGUUGAUUUAAAUGACUGAUAAUGUGUAUGAAAGCACUGUAAAACAUAAGAGAAAAACCAAUUAGUGUAUUGGCAAUCAUGCAGUUAACAUUUGAAAGUGCAGUGUAAAUUGUGAAGCAUUAUGUAAAUCAGGGGUCCACAGUUUUUCUGUAAGGGGUCAAAUCAUAAAUACUUUAGACUGUGGGCCAUAUGGUUUCUGUUACAUAUUUGUUUUUUAAACAACGUUUUUAUAAGGUCAAAAUCAUUCUUAGUUUUUGAGCCAAUUGGAUUUGGCCUGCUGUUCAUAGCUUACCACCCCCUGAUGUAUUAUUUGUUAUUCAGAGAAAAUUUCUGAAUACUACUAGUUUCCUUUUCUGUGCCUGUCCCUGUGCUAGGCACUAAAAAUGCAAUGAUUAUUGAUAUCUAGGUGACCUGAAAAAAAAUAGUGAAUGUGCUUUGUAAACUGUAAAGCACUUGUAUUCUACUGUGAUAAGCGUUGUGGAUACAAAGAAAGGAGCAAGCAUAAAAAAGUGCUCUUUCAAAAGGAUAUAGUACUAUGCAGACACAAGGAAUUGUUUGAUAAAUGAAUAAAUUAUAUGUAUAUUUGAGGCCAAUUUGUGUUUGCUGCUCUGGUAAUUUUGAGUAAAAAUGCAGUAUUCCAGGUAUCAGAAACGAAAACACAUGGAAACUGCUUUUAAACUUUAAAAUAUACUGAAAACAUAAGGGACUAAGCUUGUUGUGGUCACCUAUAAUGUGCCAGAUACCAUGCUGGGUGCUAGAGCUACCAAAGGGGGAAAAGUAUUCUCAUAGAACAAAAAAUUUCAGAAAGGUGCAUAUUAAAGUGCUUUGUAAACUAAAGCAUGAUACAAAUGUCAAUGGGCUACAUAUUUAUGAAUGAAUGAAUGGAUGAAUGAAUAUUAAGUGCCUCUUACAUACCAGCUAUUUUGGGUACUGUAAAAUACAAGAUUAAUUCUCCUAUGUAAUAAGAGGAAAGUUUAUCCUCUAUACUAUUCAGAUGUAAGGAAUGAUAUAUUGCUUAAUUUUAAACAAUCAAGACUUUACUGGUGAGGUUAAGUUAAAUUAUUACUGAUACAUUUUUCCAGGUAACCAGGAAAGAGCUAGUAUGAGGAAAUGAAGUAAUAGAUGUGAGAUCCAGACCGAAAGUCACUUAAUUCAGCUUGCGAAUGUGCUUUCUAAAUUAUAAAGCACUUGUAAAUGAAAAAUUUGAUGCUUUCUGUAUGAAUAAAACUUUCUGUAAGCUAGGUAUUGUCUCUACAAAAUUCUCAUUGUAUAGUUAAACCACAGUGAGAAGGGUUCUAUAAGUAGUUAUACAAACCAAGGGUUUAAAUACCUGUUAAAUAGAUCAAUUUUGAUUGCCUACUAUGUGAACUCACUGUUAAAGGCACUGAAAAUUUAUCAUAUUUCAUUUAGCCACAGCCAAAAAUAAGGCAAUACCUAUGUUAGCAUUUUGUGAACUCUAAGGCACCAUAUAAAUGUAACUGUUGAUUUUCUCACUUGGUGCUGGGUACUAGGUUUAUAAAAUUGUAUGAUAGUUAUUAUAUUGUGCAAAUAAAGUAGGAAAAUUUGAAUAACAAUGAUUAUCUUUUGAAUACGCAUACGCAAGGGAUUGGUUGUCUGAAGAAUGCCACUAUAGUAGUUAUCUAUUGUGUGCCAAUCUCAUUGCUAGGCAUUGGGGAUGCAAAGAUAAACCAUCUUUAUUGUGUCUUGGGUAGCAGAAGAAAAUAUGUGUAAAAUCAAUUUAUAAUUUGUAAACUGCCACCCAUAUAUAAGCUAUAUCUGCUGAAUGAUCAUUGAUUACUCUUAUCCUUAGAGAUAACAACUGGGGGCACAAACAUUUAUUAUCAUUAUUGAACCUACAACAGAGAUCUAUGUGUAGAUUUACAAAGCCUACAGUUCUAUACAGAUAGGAAUGAACUAUUGGCUUACUGAAUGGUGAUUACUUUCUGUGGGGCUCGGAACUACAUGCCCUAGGAUAUAAAAAUGAUGUUAUCAUUAUAGAGUGCUCACAGAAGGAAAUGAAGUAAUAUAGGUGUGAGAUCCAGACCAAAAGUCAUUUAACAAGUUUAUUCAGUGAUGAAAACAUGGGACAAAUGGACUAAUAUAAGGCAGUGUACUAAGCUGAGUAGAGAGAUAAAGUCCUGUCCAGAAGAUACAUGCUUCCUGGCCUGAUUGAGGAGAUGGAAAAUUUUUGCAAAAAACAAGGUGUUGUGGUCUUCCAUCCAGUUUCUUAAGUGCUGAUGAUAAAAGUGAAUUAGACCCACCUUGACCUGGCCUACAGAAGUAAAGGAGUAAAAAUAAAUGCCUCAGGCGUGCUUUUUGAUUCAUUUGAUAAACAAAGCAUCUUUUAUGUGGAAUAUACCAUUCUGGGUCCUGAGGAUAAGAGAGAUGAGGGCAUUAGAUCACUGACAGCUGAAGAUAGAAGAACAUCUUUGGUUUGAUUGUUUAAAUAAUAUUUCAAUGCCUAUUCUCUGCAAGGUACUAUGUUUCGUAAAUUAAAUAGGUCUGGCCCAGAAGACCCACUCAAUUGCCUUUGAGAUUAAAAAAAAAAAAAAAAAGAAAGAAAAAUGCAAGUUUCUUUCAAAAUAAAGAGACAUUUUUCCUAGUUUCAGGAAUCCCCCAAAUCACUUCCUCAUUGGCUUAGUUUAAAGCCAGGAGACUGAUAAAAGGGCUCAGGGUUUGUUCUUUAAUUCAUUAACUAAACAUUCUGCUUUUAUUACAGUUAAAUGGUUCAAGAUGUAACAACUAGUUUUAAAGGUAUUUGCUCAUUGGUCUGGCUUAGAGACAGGAAGACAUAUGAGCAAUAAAAAAAAGAUUCUUUUGCAUUUACCAAUUUAGUAAAAAUUUAUUAAAACUGAAUAAAGUGCUGUUCUUAAGUGCUUGAAAGACGUAAACCAAAGUGCACUUUAUCUCAUUUAUCUUAUGGUGGAAACACAGGAACAAAUUCUCUAAGAGACUGUGUUUCUUUAGUUGAGAAGAAACUUCAUUGAGUAGCUGUGAUAUGUUCGAUACUAAGGAAAAACUAAACAGAUCACCUUUGACAUGCGUUGUAGAGUGGGAAUAAGAGAGGGCUUUUUAUUUUUUCGUUCAUACGAGUAUUGAUGAAGAUGAUACUAAAUGCUAAAUGAAAUAUAUCUGCUCCAAAAGGCAUUUAUUCUGACUUGGAGAUGCAACAAAAACACAAAAAUGGAAUGAAGUGAUACUCUUCAUCAAACAGAAGUGACUGUUAUCUCAACCAUUUUGUUAAAUCCUAAACAGAAAACAAAAAAAAUCAUGACGAAAAGACACUUGCUUAUUAAUUGGCUUGGAAAGUAGAAUAUAGGAGAAAGGUUACUGUUUAUUUUUUUUCAUGUAUUCAUUCAUUCUACAAAUAUAUUCGGGUGCCAAUAGGUACUUGGUAUAAGGUUUUUGGCCCCAGAGACAUGGGAAAAAAAUGCAUGCCUUCCCAGAGAAUGCCUAAUACUUUCCUUUUGGCUUGUUUUCUUGUUAGGGGCAUGGCUUAGUCCCUAAAUAACAUUGUGUGGUUUAAUUCCUACUCCGUAUCUCUUCUACCACUCUGGCCACUACGAUAAGCAGGUAGCUGGGUUUUGUAGUGAGCUUGCUCCUUAAGUUACAGGAACUCUCCUUAUAAUAGACACUUCAUUUUCCUAGUCCAUCCCUCAUGAAAAAUGACUGACCACUGCUGGGCAGCAGGAGGGAUGAUGACCAACUAAUUCCCAAACCCCAGUCUCAUUGGUACCAGCCUUGGGGAACCACCUACACUUGAGCCACAAUUGGUUUUGAAGUGCAUUUACAAGGUUUGUCUAUUUUCAGUUCUUUACUUUUUACAUGCUGACACAUACAUACACUGCCUAAAUAGAUCUCUUUCAGAAACAAUCCUCAGAUAACGCAUAGCAAAAUGGAGAUGGAGACAUGAUUUCUCAUGCAACAGCUUCUCUAAUUAUACCUUAGAAAUGUUCUCCUUUUUAUCAUCAAAUCUGCUCAAGAAGGGCUUUUUAUAGUAGAAUAAUAUCAGUGGAUGAAAACAGCUUAACAUUUUACCAUGCUUAAGUUUUAAGAAUAAAAUAAAAAUUGGAAAUAAUUGGCCAAAAUUGAAAGGAAAAAUUUUUUUAAAAUUUCUCUAAAUGUAGGCCUGGCUGGGCUUUGACCUUUUCCGUUUUUAAAUCACUCACAGAGGGUGGGACAGGAGGAAGAGUGAAGGAAAAGGUCAAACCUGUUUUAAGGGCAACCUGCCUUUGUUCUGAAUUGGUCUUAAGAACAUUACCAGCUCCAGGUUUAAAUUGUUCAGUUUCAUGCAGUUCCAAUAGCUGAUCAUUGUUGAGAUGAGGACAAAAUCCUUUGUCCUCACUAGUUUGCUUUACAUUUUUGAAAAGUAUUAUUUUUGUCCAAGUGCUUAUCAACUAAACCUUGUGUUAGGUAAGAAUGGAAUUUAUUAAGUGAAUCAGUGUGACCCUUCUUGUCAUAAGAUUAUCUUAAAGCUGAAGCCAAAAUAUGCUUCAAAAGAAGAGGACUUUAUUGUUCAUUGUAGUUCAUACAUUCAAAGCAUCUGAACUGUAGUUUCUAUAGCAAGCCAAUUACAUCCAUAAGUGGAGAAGGAAAUAGAUAAAUGUCAAAGUAUGAUUGGUGGAGGGAGCAAGGUUGAAGAUAAUCUGGGGUUGAAAUUUUCUAGUUUUCAUUCUGUACAUUUUUAGUUAGACAUCAGAUUUGAAAUAUUAAUGUUUACCUUUCAAUGUGUGGUAUCAGCUGGACUCAGUAACACCCCUUUCUUCAGCUGGGGAUGGGGAAUGGAUUAUUGGAAAAUGGAAAGAAGAAAGUAACUAAAAGCCUUCCUUUCACAGUUUCUGGCAUCACUACCACUACUGAUUAAACAAGAAUAAGAGAACAUUUUAUCAUCAUCUGCUUUAUUCACAUAAAUGAAGUUGUGAUGAAUAAAUCUGCUUUUAUGCAGACACAAGGAAUUAAGUGGCUUCGUCAUUGUCCUUCUACCUCAAAGAUAAUUUAUUCCAAAAGCUAAGAUAAAUGGAAGACUCUUGAACUUGUGAACUGAUGUGAAAUGCAGAAUCUCUUUUGAGUCUUUGCUGUUUGGAAGAUUGAAAAAUAUUGUUCAGCAUGGGUGACCACCAGAAAGUAAUCUUAAGCCAUCUAGAUGUCACAAUUGAAACAAACUGGGGAGUUGGUUGCUAU